AAAAAAAAAAAAAAAAAAAAAAAAAAAGGUGGGGGAGAAUAAACAUAGAAAAGGGCCACAGGGAGAAAGUGAGAGGGAUAACUUUCAGAUCUCUGUCUGCAAAGAUGCUGAGUUUCUUUUUUUUCCUGGUCCCUUCUUAUCAGCAGCUUUAUCACACAUUCAGAGCUUUACUUUUUAGAAACCUUCUUGCUUCACUUGCUUCUUGCUAAAUUUAUUCAUGUCCAGAACUAUUUGUUUUAGGGCUAAUGCUAUUGUUCAGAACAAAUAGCUUGCUCUGCCUUACUCCCCCUCCCCUUUUCCACCACCUGUGCACACAAAAUAUUACCCCAAAAUAAAGAAACACAUCUCUGGCUCUCAGCCACAGAGGGAGAAAUCAGCAUUCAGGGUGACAGAGUGAUUGUUACCCACAAACUCAUUUCAUAAUCGAUUUAAGGCACCUCAAAAAUUCUCUCUGUGGUCCCACUGGGAUUAAAAUGUUGCUGCAAGCAAUUUUUCUUACAGCGUGUUUCCUCUGUCCUGCAGCUGCCACUGAACAUGUAGAGAGAUGUUGGCAAUGUUUGGAGAUAAACAUCUUUGCUGUCUCCAGUUAUUUUGAUUAAAAGGCAUGACAGAAUUAAACAGCCUUUGAAGUCAGCAGGAUAGUUACAAAGUCAGAAGACUCAAAAUCUUUUCUGUGAAUUUUGGUGUGAUUAUUUCAGUCAUGCUCUGGCUGGUGGGGCUUUGGAGCAGGACUCAUCCCUGCUGCCAGCCCUUGGUGGGAUGGUCCCUGGUGCUGGCUCCUGCCUGUGGGUUGCAUUGCUGUCAUUGCCCUGCACUGAAAUCCUCCAGAGAAAGGAGGGGAACAUCCCUCUUUCACCAUAAACACAUUUCACUCAGACAAACACUGUGGUCUCUGCCUAACAGAUGCCUGGCAAUGGACUGUCUGAUUAGGCAACAGCUUUUUUUCACCUCUGUAUCUCUGGGGAGCACACAGACCCCCUGCCUCCCACCACACCCCUGACUUACCGUGUCCACACUGCACUUUCUGCACCUAUGGACCACAUGCCCUGCUUGAAACUCUCUCUCAAAGCUAAUUCACCACAGCAAGGUCACCCAUCCAGAGUCGGUGCAGAGCACCAAGGCCAGGAUGCUGCAGAGUCACUCAGAGGCACAGGAGGUCAUGAGUGAAUAUCACAGCACUUAGACACAUCUUUAGCACCUCCAGACUUAGACAAACCCCAUUUAUUGAUCUUCCUUAUCAAGUAAACCGUGUCUCUGCUGAAUUGCAGCAUGUGCAAUUCAAGGAGAACAGUCUCUUACCAAGGAAGCUCCAAGAUGAUUUAAAGCACAGCCCAGUGGGAAUAAACAAACUCCAAUUCUAACUGGGCAGCAGUUCCCUAACUAAAAUACUGAAUUCAGUGUACAGCUGCCCUUCAGCUCUUCUGCUAAUGGCACCUUUACAUCACUGCUGUGUCCAGCCGUAGCACACGUGUUCCCAUGUGCAGUUCAGCAACCUCAUUGCCAUUGCUGCUGUUAAUUGCAGGGCAGUGAUGGGCAGUGAGCAAGAUGAGGAGCUCCCCUCUGCUGGGCACUACAAAAACUGUCCAGAAGGCAACUUCUGCCCCAAGGAGUGGGAUCAGACAGACAGCAGCUGCAUGAAGCGAAGCAGUCAAAUCUCUGUUGCCCAGGCAGAGGGAGGGAGGGAGGGAGGGAGGGGUUCUCACAGAAGACAAACAGGGAUAAUUCUAUGUAUUUUGCACCUGAGGCUUGGCAGAGGCUGUUAGCUUAGGCUUGGUGCCAGGCAAACAAGGCUUUUCUGCCUCUCUGCCUGCACUGAGAGGCCUCACUCAGGCUCUGCAGCAGGACAGCUGUUCUGGAUGGAGCUGGGCUGCAGGAGCCCACUCAGGUGUCCCUGGGCUCACAGCAGAGUCAAUCUGCUGAGCAGAUCAGCCCCCACAGCUACUGGGGAACAGGCACAUUUGUUAUCCUCUUUCAACAGACGUGGGGGAAGGAGAUACUAACAAUGAUGGGACUCCAGAAAAUUUGUCUGGGAUGACCCAGAUAUCUUUGACCAUGUCUUUAACAAUGAGACCAUCUUUUGGGGCCCCUUUCACAUCCUCUGGUGCAGGAGGAUAGCCUAGCUGGUUCCUGUAAUUCACGUUUGAGUUGCAUACCCUGAAGAAGGAUGAACCUGUGGUGGCAAGGCACGAGCUUUGCUUCAGUUCUGGACAAAAAAAAAUCAAGAUUCAUUUCAAUGCCCUGGUAUUCAGAUAUAUCAGAUAAAAAACAAGUUAGUUUUACCAUAACUAAUAAAAAGGCAGUGCUUUAAACAAAUCAAACUGUGCUGAAGAAUAUGGCAGCAAUCUCAUACAGAUCUGCAAUGAAUGUCCUGUCCAGUGAAGCCAAACUGGUUCCUGUUUGCACAGAAACUCAUCUUUGGGCUCAGCCCCACAUACCCAGUCUGCACCACCUUGGCUAAAAGAACUGCUUUUGUGUCUUCCCCCAAAGUCAGUGUUUGUUUAGACUGACCACGACUGAGUCUCCAUAAGCUGUGGAUUCAACCCGUGCAGGUCAUCAAAGAGCCUGCCCUGUGCCUCAGCUCUGCUUGGGUGUUACUGGAGAUAAAGCACAUGAUUAUUAUACACAUUCCUUAACAAGCACAUGGGUUGAAAGACCAGCAAGGAGCAUGAGGAAUCAAAUGAUGCAGCAGAGCCUUUGGUCAGGUCAUUGCAGAGGAACAUCCUGAUUUCUGCACUGGAAGGUCCCUUUGGGCCAUGGCUGGCCUGGGAAUGGUCCCACAAACACACACACUCCAGGGACAGGGGUGAUCUCUGCCCCCAGGGGACUUCCAGUCUGCAUGAAGAGACCUUUGAACCAUGAAGCCAAAGCCCUCCAGCCUCUGUUUGGAGAGCAUCUCUUGCUGUGUUAACCCUCCAGAAGCCCCAGCUGGAGAGGAGCAUUCAGCACCUGAAGCAUCCCACUCAGGUCUUGCUGUGAGCAGAAAUUCUCUUUUUCUUUUUGCUGCCACCAUUUUAUUUCCAGGGAAAAUCAAAUGUUUAAGACUCUUUCCCACACACAGAGCAUCCCUCCCAGGAGCACAGCAAGUGCCAUGAGCCUGAACUUGUUGGAACUGGAACAGAUUUAAGUAAUAAAAGAGCUUAUCCAAAGCUGCUUUAAUCUCAGCUCUGGUGCACAUUUCUGGAGACCUUUCAGUCCUUCCCAGGCUGACUGGAAAUGACUGCAAGAGAAAGAGUCAGGGAAACCAAGUUUGCUGCCCUUUGGCUUGCUCCUUUUCUUCUUUCUCCUUCCAAAGCACAGUUAUCUCCCGAAUGGAGCAAACCAGGAACUGGCAAAGGAUGUAAAUCACCCUUCCAGAAAAGCCAUAUUGCAAAUCCAGCUUGGCUGCCAGCCAGGAUGUGAGAAUGAGGAAAUGCUGGAGCUGGGCUGUCCCUGCUGCUGUCCUUCAGCCCGUUCACCUGCAGGCACACGGGACAGGGAUCAGGCUGUGCACCCUGUGCUGGGCUGGGGAGCCGGGACAGGGACCUGCAGCAGGGGACUGGGGACACACCUGCUGUGCCCCCAAGCACUGCUGGGACCCCACAACCUGCAGGGCUGCUCCAGGAGCUGCCACAUGUCCCCCUGCAACUGCUCUCCACCCUGAUGCACUUUGCAUUCACAGGUCCUCCUCCCUCCUCCUGCCCCAGAGCAGCUCUUUAUCUGAUUACCUCAUUUAUCAGGUAUUUAUCUGCUAAAACCACUUCCACAAGCUCCUGCAGAGCCCUGCUUUCUCUCCUCUUUAUCUCUCAAUCCAGUUAACAUUAUCCCUUUCCUCUUUUACCCCCAAAGGACAUGGCAGAUCAUUUGCCUUCUCUUCUGCAGACAGACGUUCUGUAUUUGAAGAACAGGUUUCACAUCUCCCUUCGGUUUUCCCUGCACAAGAGAAACCCAACUCUUUUAUCAGAGCUGUUAUUUACCGAAUUUACAACUCAGCCUCUGUUCCUUCCUCUCACUUUUCUUGGAGGAUGCCCAGAGCUGCAUUUUCCAACUGAGCCCCUAACAGGCACCACCUGGAGCAGAAUGCACCACUUCCCCAAUGCAGCCUUUCUCUUUCUCCAUCCCAAGAAGACUGUUUGCUUUGGCACAACUGUGUGCCCCUGUUGACUCAUGGGGCACAGUGUCCCUGUCCUCUGGCUCCCUGUGCCACUGUCUGGCUGGUCACUCACCUGCUGUCCAGGCGGUCAGUCAGUCCUGCCACACAGGGCAGGACAUGUGCCCUGGCUUUUUAAACCAGCUCUCCAGCUCGUCACAAUCUUCAACUCCUAGUCUCUUCUCUAAAAUGUUUCCAGUCCCUCGUAGCUCAGUGUCACCUACAAAUUCAGUAUGUGCCUCCCUACUCCAUCACACACUAAUGAAAACAUGGGCUGACAGGCUCUGACCCUCCCAACUCCAAACACCCUCAGGUUUAUACACUGAAAAAUACUGAGAAUGUUGUUUUUGGAAGCCAGAAGUGAAGCCUAAGGCAUGUCCAUGUCCCUGACCACAAGAUGUUCUUCACCAGGACCAAAAUUCCAAAACAUUUUAGAACAGGGGAAAGUAGAGGAGAAAGGACAACAAGAAUUUCCCACAGGACAAAAACUAACCUCUUUUUCCCACAGGACAAGCUCAAGACAUUUUGGCUGCAGUUCUCCUAUAGAACUACACCAGCCUGUGAUCACUUUGCAGGGACAGUUUCCCUCCCCAAGGAUAAACCUUCCAUUUUAAUCCUGAGCAGAAAAACUAUCUCUCUGUAAUAAACAUCUGGAAAACAAACCUUUGGCCUGUUUUCAUCAAAACUAUGUACUUUUAAAGCACAGUUACCAACAGGUUCUGCCAUAGAUAUCCUCAAACUUUUCUCCCCCAAAUUUGCCUCCAUUUGCAGUACCAUUUCUCUGCAGCAAAGUCCUUGUCUGAAGAACUUCCUCUGCUCUUCUGCAAAAACAUCUUGCUGCCUGUGCCCACUGUGUUGACACAGUAAUGAGAAGCCUGAGAAAGACCUACCCUGUAAUAAAACAUCAUUAAAUGGGAAUCUGAAAGUCUGGGAAAUCCUGAGGUUUCACUGUAAGACUGUGGAAGGCACAGACCUGAAGCAAGACAGAGUUUGCUAGAGCAGUGCAGAUGCUGACACAGCACAGGGGAGCUCAUCUGGCUGAUGUGACUGAAGGAGAAGGUUAUUUUCUCAGAUUAGCAUCUCACAGUUCUUAAGUGACAUGAAGGGAUGGUUUACAACAAGCACUGUACUUAAGUCUUGUAUGGCUUCUCUUGCUUUCUUUUGGGGUUUUCAUUCUUUUGCUGUUCUUACCAAGUUAACAAUUCAGUGAGUCACCCAUUUCUGAGCCUUCCCCUCCCCAGGUGCGAGAAGAGCAGGAAAGCCACCCAAAGUCUGGAUGGUGGAAGCAGAUCUAGUAACUCCCUGCAGCCAGACACGAUGGGUGGAGAUGUUCCUGCCUAAAAUGAGCUGGGGCUUCCACCCUUCUCCAGGCCAACAGAGAUGGCAGGACCUGACUGCAGCAGUCACCACAGGGAGCUGGCAGGCUCCAGCUCUUUGAAACCUCUUUGAUUCUUUCCAGGAAAGGCACAGAGGAAUUGCACUGUGUGUGCAUGGAAAUAUUUGUAUUGGCCAUUUCCGUGCUGCAGUGCCUGUUAGAAGGGUCUCCAAGAUCAGCACUCUCCUGCCUUUCUGAUUUUGCUUCACCCAGUCACUCAGAAGAUGCACAGGACCAGGGGCAGAAGGUGGCCUGGGAGGCAGUGUGGGGUGGAAGGAAGACACAGCCUGUGGCAGAAGCCCAGCCCAUCUCCUGCUGAUGUGUUUUCCCCCUCCAUGGAGCACAGGCAUGACACACAGUACAGAGGCAGCUCUGAGCCAGCCCUGAAUAAGCACAGUGGGGAAAACAGGAAAGGCAAGGAAUGCAGAACCAUAUUCUGCCUCUUCUGGGAAGCUCCUGGGAGAGAGGCAAACACAACUGGCUGAUCUUUGGGGAUCCACAGGGGUGGGAAAGAGAUGCUCUUUGCUGGAAAUGGACUCACUGCCCUGAGGUGCCAGGACCCCACAGCAUUCUGCCUUUCCCUUCCUCUCACACUGUUUGCCUUCAGUCCAGCUCCUGCACAGCAGAUCCAGCUUGCUUCACCUGUUCCCCUGCACUGGCAGGGGUCAUGCAGGUCAGCCCAGGGAGACAAAUACAUGCAGUGUGAACAACAUGCCUCCCCCCAGGACCCCAAUGAGUUAGCAAGACCCAUGUGUGCAGGACAAGUACAAACACUAUGUAUUUCAAGCUGCACUGACACAGGUUCUGCCCUGUAUCUAACCCCAGCAUAAGAAGGAGGUGGACCUGCUGGAGUUCCCACAGAAGGGUCACAGAGAUGCUCAGAAGGCUGGAGCCCCUCUCCUAUUAAGACAUGCUGAAGGAGUUGGGGUUGUUCAACCUGGAGAAGAGAAGGCACUGGGAAGAUCUUAAGAGCAUCUUCCAGCACCUGAAGAGAGCUGGAGAGGGACUUUUUACAAGGGCUGUAGUGGUAGGACAAGGGGAAUGUCCUCAUGGUGAAGGAGGGCAGGUUUAGAUAUUAGAUAUAAGGAAUAAAUUCUUCACUAUGAGGGCAUUGUGAGGCAUUGGCAAGUUUGUCCACAGAAGCUGUGGAUGACCCUUCCCUCCUUCCCUGGAAGUGUUUAGGAUCAGGCUGGACCAAGUUUUGAGCAACAUGGUCUAUUGGAAGGUGGCCCUGAGCAUGGUGGGAGCUGGAAUAAGAUGAUCUUUAAGGUUCCAUCCAACCCAAACCACUGUGUAGCUCUAUGACCUAUUGGUCAUGCACAUGAUCAGCAGUUGGUAUCAGCCUCCUUCAGUGGUGGACAUGUUAUCUACAGACCCUGAUUCUUGAAGCCUACACCCAUUUUUUCCAAAGACUACAGUGGUGUACUCAUAUUAGAUGGAAAUGCCUGUCUGGCCACAACCAAGGCUUUAGAGAGACUCACUGAAAUCUAAGAAAAAGGAUGGGAAGGAUUUCUGUCUCUGUACCUUAAACUCCAGGAAAAUUUUCAAAAUGUUUAAGCCCCAGAGUAUGUAAAGGCUUUUGGAAAUGUGUUGGAAGCUCCCAUGUCACUGACAUACUUUCAGGAGCUUUUUACUUUCAGUUAAGUGACAGUUCAUUUAAACUUUGAUGAAGAUGGGGAGCUGCUUAAUCCACUGUAGGUCUUCAUAGGAAAACCUAUGAAGAAGCAGCAAAUUCAAAUUUGAAAAUAGCAUUUUGUUCCAUUAUGAUGUUGACUAAAAACUAACUCUAAUCAGUGAUGGUAAACCUAUAGGUAAGAAAUUGGUGUGCUUAAAUUCCUAGUGUGUGACAUUUCUUAUCACAGCUGCCACUGCUUUUCCCACCUCUCAAGAGAGCCAGCAUGGCCUACUUCUUCCAUCACUGGAAAAAAUGUGUUUCCCCUGAAUCUAAACCUGCUUCUAUUUAUGGGUAUGAUGUUACAAGGUCAUAGUCAAAGCAUAGUUCUUAACAAUAAAAAGCAAAACAACCCUGAAACAAUAAUAAAGAGCAAAAUAAACAACAAAAAAAUUAUUGUGCCGUCAAAGAGCAUGUUUUCCUGGGGUUUGAUGUGGUUUUGUUAAACACAGACUUGUUGAGUCAUCAACAUUUUCUCCUUUAUAAUCACAGAGGAAAUCAAAUAUGUGCAGUGACUGUGGCAUCUUAUAUUACUGUACAUUUGUUUCAUAGCAAAUGUGAUUUUAGAAGAACAGAAAAUGAAAGUUUGAUGCAGUAUUUAAAUCUUAUUAGUCCUGCAUCUCCUCAGCCCACAGGAGGAUUGAUGCUGUAGGCGACAGCCUUCCUCUCCUGCUGUCUCUCAGUUUUGGUUUCUUGCCACAGGAGGCAAUUCUGUAUGGGUUAGUUUUAUUUAGACUACUCUGAUGGAAAUCAUCUGGGGUCCUCUGUACCUCUGUACCCCUGUGCCCAGCUCAGGCUUUACGAACACAAACACUCCCCCAAGCUCCCUGGUGUCCAUCCACAGUGGGCAGAUGUCACACCCUGCACAGGGUCACAGGACAGGGACACAUCCAACCUUUGUAGCUUUUACAAGUCCCUACUUCGGUUCAGAAACCCCAUAGCUGCUCCCUGCUCUCCUCUGAGGGAUCCGGGGCCCCGGCCAAGAUUUUCCCCAAGUUGUUUUUUUUUUUUUGGUUUUUUUUUUUUUUAUAUCUCGGUGCUGAUAUCUCCCUGGCUGGAAGGAAUCCUUUCCUCAAAGCAUUAAGCGAGGUGAGAAGAAAAAGUGAAACCUAAGCGCCUAGUGCUGCUCCCUGAGGAGCAAAGCCUGAACGUGCGUGCGUCCAUCCAUCCAUCCAUCCAUCCAUCCAUCCAUCCCCGCUAUGCUCACUCGGACCGCAUCACUGGAGCAGUGAAGCCGACCCGUUCCGGGGUUCGUGCCCGGUGCCAGGGAGUUUCGCGCACCCGCACGGAUGCCCCAGCCAGGGGACAGCGCUUCCCGCGAGCAUCCCGCAACGCAGCCCCUGCGGGGGCCGAGCAUCCCGCCGAGCUCUCCCGAGACACAGCGGCCCC